UCCGGUUUGUCACCGGCAGUCUCCCUAGAGUGCCCACCAUAAUGUGCUGGCAAAUAAGGACAAGGGUUGCGCUCGUUACGGGACUUAACCCAACAUCUCACGACACGAGCUGACGACAGCCAUGCAGCACCUGUCUCAGAGCUCCCGAAGGCACCAAGGCAUCUCUGCCAAGUUCUCUGGAUGUCAAGAGUAGGUAAGGUUCUUCGCGUUGCGUCGAAUUAAACCACAUGCUCCACCGCUUGUGCGGGCCCCCGUCAAUUCAUUUGAGUUUUAAUCUUGCGACCGUACUCCCCAGGCGGUCAACUUAGUGCGUUAGCUGCGCCACUAAAAGGAUUACCCUUCCAACGGCUAGUUGACAUCGUUUACCGCGUGGACUAC
rnacentral:misc_RNA from 1 species